rnacentral:rRNA from 1 species
UACGAGUGCCUCAAGCGUUAUCCGGAAUCAUUGGGCGUAAAGGUUGUGUAGGUGGUUGUGUUAGUCUUUUGUUAAAUUCUUCGGCUUAACCGGGGGUCUGCAUUAGAAACGGCACAACUAGAGGAUGCGAGGGGUCUGUGGAACUCAUAGUGUAGCGGUGAAAUGCGUUGAUAUUAUGGGGAACACCAAAAGCGAAGGCAGCAGACUGGAGCACUCCUGACACUGAAACAAGAAAGCGUGGGUCGCGAAUGGG